UACGGAGGGUGCGAGCGUUGUCCGGAAUCAUUGGGCGUAAAGGGUGCGUAGGCGGUCUGUCGCGUCGGCUGUGAAAACUCGGGGCUCAACCCCGAGCCUGCAGUCGAUACGGGCAGACUAGAGUGCUGUAGGGGAGACUGGAAUUCCUGGUGUAGCGGUGAAAUGCGCAGAUAUCAGGAGGAACACCGGUGGCGAAGGCGGGUCUCUGGGCAGUAACUGACGCUGAGGAGCGAAAGCGUGGGGAGCAAACAGG
rnacentral:rRNA from 1 species